rnacentral:rRNA from 32 species
AGCGUACACGGUGGAUGCCCUGGCAGUCAGAGGCGAUGAAGGACGUGCUAAUCUGCGAUAAGCGUCGGUAAGGUGAUAUGAACCGUUAUAACCGGCGAUUUCCGAAUGGGGAAACCCAGUGUGAUUCGUCACACUAUCAUUAACUGAAUCCAUAGGUUAAUGAGGCGAACCGGGGGAACUGAAACAUCUAAGUACCCCGAGGAAAAGAAAUCAACCGAGAUUCCCCCAGUAGCGGCGAGCGAACGGGGAGCAGCCCAGAGCCUGAAUCAGUGUGUGUGUUAGUGGAAGCGUCUGGAAAGGCGUGCGAUACAGGGUGACAGCCCCGUACACAAAAAUGCACAUACUGUGAGCUCGAUGAGUAGGGCGGGACACGUGGUAUCCUGUCUGAAUAUGGGGGGACCAUCCUCCAAGGCUAAAUACUCCUGACUGACCGAUAGUGAACCAGUACCGUGAGGGAAAGGCGAAAAGAACCCCGGCGAGGGGAGUGAAAAAGAACCUGAAACCGUGUACGUACAAGCAGUGGGAGCACGCUUAGGCGUGUGACUGCGUACCUUUUGUAUAAUGGGUCAGCGACUUAUAUUCUGUAGCAAGGUUAACCGAAUAGGGGAGCCGAAGGGAAACCGAGUCUUAACUGGGCGUUAAGUUGCAGGGUAUAGACCCGAAACCCGGUGAUCUAGCCAUGGGCAGGUUGAAGGUUGGGUAACACUAACUGGAGGACCGAACCGACUAAUGUUGAAAAAUUAGCGGAUGACUUGUGGCUGGGGGUGAAAGGCCAAUCAAACCGGGAGAUAGCUGGUUCUCCCCGAAAGCUAUUUAGGUAGCGCCUCGUGAAUUCAUCUCCGGGGGUAGAGCACUGUUUCGGCAAGGGGGUCAUCCCGACUUACCAACCCGAUGCAAACUGCGAAUACCGGAGAAUGUUAUCACGGGAGACACACGGCGGGUGCUAACGUCCGUCGUGAAGAGGGAAACAACCCAGACCGCCAGCUAAGGUCCCAAAGUCAUGGUUAAGUGGGAAACGAUGUGGGAAGGCCCAGACAGCCAGGAUGUUGGCUUAGAAGCAGCCAUCAUUUAAAGAAAGCGUAAUAGCUCACUGGUCGAGUCGGCCUGCGCGGAAGAUGUAACGGGGCUAAACCAUGCACCGAAGCUGCGGCAGCGACGCUUAUGCGUUGUUGGGUAGGGGAGCGUUCUGUAAGCCUGUGAAGGUGUGCUGUGAGGUAUGCUGGAGGUAUCAGAAGUGCGAAUGCUGACAUAAGUAACGAUAAAGCGGGUGAAAAGCCCGCUCGCCGGAAGACCAAGGGUUCCUGUCCAACGUUAAUCGGGGCAGGGUGAGUCGACCCCUAAGGCGAGGCCGAAAGGCGUAGUCGAUGGGAAACAGGUUAAUAUUCCUGUACUUGGUGUUACUGCGAAGGGGGGACGGAGAAGGCUAUGUUGGCCGGGCGACGGUUGUCCCGGUUUAAGCGUGUAGGCUGGUUUUCCAGGCAAAUCCGGAAAAUCAAGGCCGAGGCGUGAUGACGAGGCACUACGGUGCUGAAGCAACAAAUGCCCUGCUUCCAGGAAAAGCCUCUAAGCAUCAGGUAACAUCAAAUCGUACCCCAAACCGACACAGGUGGUCAGGUAGAGAAUACCAAGGCGCUUGAGAGAACUCGGGUGAAGGAACUAGGCAAAAUGGUGCCGUAACUUCGGGAGAAGGCACGCUGAUACGUAGGUGAAGCGACUUGCUCGUGGAGCUGAAAUCAGUCGAAGAUACCAGCUGGCUGCAACUGUUUAUUAAAAACACAGCACUGUGCAAACACGAAAGUGGACGUAUACGGUGUGACGCCUGCCCGGUGCCGGAAGGUUAAUUGAUGGGGUUAGCGCAAGCGAAGCUCUUGAUCGAAGCCCCGGUAAACGGCGGCCGUAACUAUAACGGUCCUAAGGUAGCGAAAUUCCUUGUCGGGUAAGUUCCGACCUGCACGAAUGGCGUAAUGAUGGCCAGGCUGUCUCCACCCGAGACUCAGUGAAAUUGAACUCGCUGUGAAGAUGCAGUGUACCCGCGGCAAGACGGAAAGACCCCGUGAACCUUUACUAUAGCUUGACACUGAACAUUGAGCCUUGAUGUGUAGGAUAGGUGGGAGGCUUUGAAGUGUGGACGCCAGUCUGCAUGGAGCCGACCUUGAAAUACCACCCUUUAAUGUUUGAUGUUCUAACGUGGACCCGUGAUCCGGGUUGCGGACAGUGUCUGGUGGGUAGUUUGACUGGGGCGGUCUCCUCCUAAAGAGUAACGGAGGAGCACGAAGGUUGGCUAAUCCUGGUCGGACAUCAGGAGGUUAGUGCAAUGGCAUAAGCCAGCUUGACUGCGAGCGUGACGGCGCGAGCAGGUGCGAAAGCAGGUCAUAGUGAUCCGGUGGUUCUGAAUGGAAGGGCCAUCGCUCAACGGAUAAAAGGUACUCCGGGGAUAACAGGCUGAUACCGCCCAAGAGUUCAUAUCGACGGCGGUGUUUGGCACCUCGAUGUCGGCUCAUCACAUCCUGGGGCUGAAGUAGGUCCCAAGGGUAUGGCUGUUCGCCAUUUAAAGUGGUACGCGAGCUGGGUUUAGAACGUCGUGAGACAGUUCGGUCCCUAUCUGCCGUGGGCGCUGGAGAACUGAGGGGGGCUGCUCCUAGUACGAGAGGACCGGAGUGGACGCAUCACUGGUGUUCGGGUUGUCAUGCCAAUGGCACUGCCCGGUAGCUAAAUGCGGAAGAGAUAAGUGCUGAAAGCAUCUAAGCACGAAACUUGCCCCGAGAUGAGUUCU